GUCAUAUGCUUGUCUCAAAGAUUAAGCCAUGCAUGUCUCAGUACAAGCCAAAUUAAGGUGAAACCGCGAAAGGCUCAUUAAAUCAGUUAUGGUUCCUUAGAUCGUACUCACAAUUACUUGGAUAACUGUGGUAAUUCUAGAGCUAAUACAUGCAAACAGAGCUCCGACCGGAGACGGAAGGAGUGCUUUUAUUAGAUCAAAACCAAUCGGUGGCGGGUUCGCGCUCGUUAUCGUACAACUUGGUGACUCUGAAUAACUUUACGCUGAUCGCACGGUCAUUGCACCGGCGACGCAUCUUUCAAAUGUCUGCCUUAUCAACUGUCGAUGGUAGGUUCUGCGCCUACCAUGGUCGUAACGGGUAACGGGGAAUCAGGGUUCGAUUCCGGAGAGGGAGCCUGAGAAACGGCUACCACAUCCAAGGAAGGCAGCAGGCGCGCAAAUUACCCACUCCCGGCACGGGGAGGUAGUGACGAAAAAUAACGAUACGGGACUCAUCCGAGGCCCCGUAAUCGGAAUGAGUACACUCUAAACCCUUUAACGAGGAUCAAUUGGAGGGCAAGUCUGGUGCCAGCAGCCGCGG
rnacentral:rRNA from 1 species